rnacentral:rRNA from 1 species
GCAAGCAGCCAUACCACCCUAAACAUGCUUGAUGCUGUCUGAUCUCAGAAGCUAAGUGGGAUUAGGCCUGGUUAGGACUUGGCUGGGAAAAUGGAUGCACCAGGGCUUUUGCU